rnacentral:rRNA from 1 species
AUUGAACGCUGGCGGCAGGCUUAACACAUGCAAGUCGAGCGAGCGGCGGACGGGUGAGUAAUGUCUGGGAAACUGCCUGAUGGAGGGGGAUAACUACUGGAACAGGUAGCUAAUACCGCAUACCAUCAGAUGGGCCCAUAUGGGAUUAGCUAGUGGGUGGGGUAAUGGCUCACCUAGGCGACGAUCCCUAGCUGGUAUGAGAGGAUGACCAGCCACACUGGAACUGAGACACGGUCCAGACUCCUACGGGAGGCAGCAGUGGGGAAUAUUGGACAAUGGGCGAAAGCCUGAUGCAGCCAUGCCGCGUGUGUGAUGAAGGCCUUCGGGUUGUAAAGCACUUUCAGCGGGGAAGCGGUACUUGCAGAAGAAGCACCGGCUAACUCCGUGCCAGCAGCCGCGGUAAUUC